GGGUUUAUUUAGGUCGGCCGGAUGGAUCGCGACGACGACGAUGACGACGUCGAUCCAGCGCCAGCAGCUCCGGCAAGAUUCCAGCAGCAGCAACGAGAUUGGAGUGCCUGGAGCAUCGAUGCGAUCGAGCUCCUCUUGCAGGCAUUCCUCAGGUAUCUGGGAGCGUUUGUGGAUUUUCUCGAUAGGAUCAUCAGCUAUUUCGAGGCGCCUCGCGAGGGAGAAAGAAGAGCGGGCCGGGAGCAGCAGCAGCGGCAGCAACAACAACAACAGGGAAGCAGCGUAUGGAUGCGCGUUCUCCAGUGGCUGGGCAGUGGCGUCAGGAAUCUUCCCCAGGACCGAAGCUCGCUAUGGAUGCCCAGCGUCGCGAUGCUACUCGUGUGCUUCGUAUUUCUAGGCUUUAGAACGGGCUUUCGACUCUUUAGAAUCGUGGAAGUUGUCCAAGAACAAGUAGAACCCGAGAAAACACCGUCCAAGCGGCUCCUGCUACCAGAUGGGAGGUACAUAGCUUACAGAGAGCUAGGGGUCAGUGUAGAAAAAUCCAAGCACUCUGGAUUAGUGGUACGGGGAUUAACAGCUUUUAGAGAGACAGGCAUUCCCGGACUGAACGAUUCUUUGCUGGAACAGUUUCAAGUUUGUCUGAUCACAUACGACUUGCCGGGAUUCGGGCUGAGUGAUCCUAAUCCCAAUAGAACAUUUAACUCUUCCGCACAGGACAUGGAACUCAUUGCCAACGCACUGAGACUCGGCGAGAGGUUUUGGUUGCUGGUACAUCCUGGUGGCGGUCCCUAUGCGUGGGCAGCAAUCAGAUAUAUUCCAGAGCGACUAUCAGGUGUUGUGAUGCUGGCUCCAGUUGGAAACCCGUCUAAGGCCGGGGACGUGAGUGAGAUCGAGGAAGAUGGAACUGAUUCUGAGGAACUGUCGUCCGGAUGGAGGUUCCUAGCACGAGUUCUUGGAAUUGGCCGAUUUUUUCCCAUUCGAAAGGAGUUGAAGAAGAAGAUAACAAAGAUACACAAAGGAUUGUAUACGACUGUAGCUGACAAGGAACAAGUUUUGUUCGAGCAGAGGGAAUUUAUAAAUUUUUGGGAGCAAAACCUUCGCUACACAGCGCCAGACGCAGUCCCGAGAGCAGCAGCAGCGCCUAAACCGCCAGCGGCUGAGAGACGGAGCCACCCUGAUUUUAGCAAAUUUUUCAAGAUCAGGCUCAAGUUUCCUUCAGUGCCAGUGCGUCCAGCGUUCCGACUUGUGAAGAGCUUCAUAAUGUGGUGGUGGCCGAGACAAACUAAGAAGGAGCCAACGGAUGAUGCUGCUGUUGCUCCUGAUGCUGCCGCCAGCUUUGGAACGCCGUUGCCUCCAAAUCUACUGAGUGAGACUUGGGAAGCCUUCAAACUCAAGCUCGGCUUAGUCGUGGUGCUGCUGGUGAUCUCGCUCUUGGUCCUCAGAUAACGCACGCACACCUCUCUAGAGCCGAGCAGAGACAGACAGACACUGAUGCCUCACUCCGAGACAAGAGUCGUAUCAGAGGACCAAAUUACACCUACGGAUUGUUUUAAGCUGUCACCAGAAAGGAGAUAACGCAAGAAUCUACCGCAAACAUAAUCUUGACUCGAGGAUUGGCGCGAGACCGUCAGAAGGGAUGGUGUUUAUAAAGGUCACGACGAGUUUUCUGAUCUUUUGUGGUAGGCACGCUGGAGUCGUGGGCUGCUAGCUAUUUACCGUACAAAAGCCAGAGACUUCUAAGGUGCCUUAACGAAUAUCCACCACCUCCUUUCUCUUCAGAGAACUGGUACGUUGUGCCUUGUA